rnacentral:rRNA from 1 species
GACGAACGCUGUCGGCGUGCCUAAUACAUGCCAGUAGAACGCUGAAGGAGGAGCUUGCUUCUCUGGAUGAGUUGCGAACGGGUGAGUAACGCGUAGGUAACCUGCCUGGUAGCGGGGGAUAACUAUUGGAAACGAUAGCUAAUACCGCAUAACAGUAGAUAUCGCAUGAUAUCUACUUGAAAGUUGCAAUUGCAUCACUACCAGAUGGACCUGCGUUGUAUUAGCUAGUUGGUGAGGUAACGGCUCACCAAGGCGACGAUACAUAGCCGACCUGAGAGGGUGAUCGGCCACACUGGGACUGAGACACGGCCCAGACUCCUACGGGAGGCAGCAGUAGGGAAUCUUCGGCAAUGGACGGAAGUCUGACCGAGCAACGCCGCGUGAGUGAAGAAGGUUUUCGGAUCGUAAAGCUCUGUUGUAAGAGAAGAACGAGUGUGAGAGUGGAAAGUUCACACUGUGACGGUAUCUUACCAGAAAGGGACGGCUAACUACGUG